rnacentral:lncRNA from 1 species
CUCAGUGUGUUAAUGAUCCAGCAUUGCCAUGAGCUGUGGUGUAGGUUGCAGACAUGGCUCGGAUCCUGCGUUGCUGUGGCUCUGGCGUAGACCGGCGGCUACAGCUCCGAUUGGAUCCCUAGCCUGGGAACCUCCAUAUGCUGCGGGAGCAGCCCAAGAAAUGGCAAAAAGACAAAAAAAAAAAAAAAAAGAAGAAGACAGAGUAAAUCUGUUACUCCACGAUGACCAGAAGUUUAUGUUCUCAGGACAUUGACAAGUUUUGGAGAUGAGUAAAAUUUAACAAUUAUCAAAAAUAAAAAAAAAAAAAAAUUAAUCAAUGAAAUGGGGGGAAAACAUUAUUUUCUCUGUAUAAAUAUCAUAGAAUAACUGUCUAAAAGAUGACUAACAAAAUAAUGUAUAGUAUGUCACAGAAUCAAUAUAAAUAUUUGAAUUUUAUUAAGUUUGUGUUAUGUGUCAGGUACUUUAAAUUUAUAGUAUAUUAUGAUUUGUGCUAAGUAUACUUUACCAUGUAUAACUUUUAAAAAUAAUUUUUUUUAACCUAUAUUUUUUAUCCUAAUUGUCUAGGUUUAAGCUCCUACAAAACUUGGAUUUGCCACUGCCACUGUCUGGAACAUAGAAACAAACACUGAAAGAAAAUUUUAUAUGUGUAGUCAUUCUUAUUAAAAGGUUUUUUUGUGUUGGUAUCUUAAUUAAAAUUAACUGAAUCUCCUCUCUUCCUACUCUAUUUAAAAUCUCAGGAAAAUUUCAAGGUAUCUUUUUUGUUUCUAAGUCUUUUUCUGUGACCUUGAACAAGUUUCGGGUGCUCUUUCAACAUGAACAUGUUCCUUCUCUGUUCUUAAAUAUUCUCAUUUGAAAUAAUGAAAGACAGAUCUUUUUUAUUAGAGUCAACAAAAAAUGAGUCUGGCAUAGGAUUGUGAAAAAGAAAAUUAUUACUAAAUUUAUGAAAUUAUAUAUAAGGACUUUCUCAAUCAUUUUUUUGCAAUUCCCUCAAGAUUCCUACAGAAAUAUCCUAUUGAUCUACUAAUAUUAUUUGUAAACAACAAAAAUAAUUCUCUUAAGCAUAAAACCAAUUCUACCUUUUUCUGUAUCUAGGCUCCAUUUACACAUAGAAAGACUCUCCGUAAGAAUUAAGUGUAUCUCAUGCCUGAUUUCAAUGACUCCUGCUGAUUUUUAUAAACAUUGAAGCUUAUAUUCCUGUGCAUCAGAGUCACCAGAUAUUUCUCUUGUUUUAUUCAAAAGCUCCAGUACUAUUAUGGCUGAAAUUCCAUGUUGUUUGCUUCAGGUUGUUGGGCUUUGUAAAUGAACAACCACUAGCUUUCUGAGAUCUCAUAAAUAAUUCCCUUUGCUCUACUGCUAUUCUUUCAACCCCCUUAGCCAUUCUGUGUUCCUUCAACACAUCGGAAAAUAUAUCUCAGUGAGUCUGUAAAUAUACUCCUCUCCAUCACUUAAAUUAUCACACUUGGGUAGUUUAUAUUCUCCACUUCACUCCUCCUCUAUUUUUUUUUUUUUUUUUAAUUCCCAGCCAGUAAUCUGAAAGAUCUGUGUGGCCUGAAAUGGUUUCAGCUCCAGAUAAAUUACUCUAUGGUCCUGGCACCAUGAAAUACAGAAUCUGGUGUGGUAAAAACUUCGGAAAGGGUGGCCAAACUAUACUUGGACACUGAGAUUGGGUGAUACCAGGGACUAUUUCUUAAAGUUAUCAAUAUUUUGAUAAUUUGAAAUACUUACAUCUGAAUGGCUAUUUACAUAAUUUGAAUGCUAUUCUUCAAAAAUAAUAGUUCUUCCUUUGGAGAACUCUAUUGUUUCUGCAAAACUACUCUAAGAAUAGUCACAAAUGAGGAGUGAUUAUAACAAAAAAUAAGAAAUACCUAAAGUAUUCUUAUUCAACAUAAAAAUACAGGUAACAAUCCUAUUAUUUACUAUCAUUAUCUUUUACUAAUUUUUCCAGAAGGAUGAAAAAUUAAAUGAUGACAGUUAAAAAGAGGAUAUCUAUUGGAGAGAAAAAGUAUAAAAAUUCUAUAAAUAUAAAUGACUAACAGCAUAUUUCCUUAUGCUAGCAAUAAUAAAUGAGAAAAAAUUGGGGAAUCAAUUUAUUUAAAAGGAACAAAAAUGAUGGGGCUUAUACAUUUUAAAAUAUUACUGAGACAUAUAAAAAUAUUUUAGAAAGUUAGAGAUGCAAAUCAGAUAUCUUAUUUACAAAUAUUAAUUUAUAGGCUUAUCAUUCCCCAAACAUCUUAAUAUGAUUUUUAAGGUAAAAUUAGAUAAUGCCAUUCUAAGAAACAUUCAUAAAAAUAUUCAAUUUUAAUAAAUUUCAAAAAUGUUAAUAAAUCAUUAUGAUAAUAUAGGACAUGAUUACUCGAUACACAAAUACUUAAAACUGUAGUUAUUGAGUCUGAAUAUGUUAGAAUCAAGAAAUGUAAUGAUGGAACCAACUUGUGUGUGAGUAUGAAUAAGAUUAUACCACAGGAACUGCCAUUCCCUUAAUCAGCCUAAGCUUAAGCUAAUAAUUUCUUUCUUUCUCUUAUGUACUUACUACAUUUCUAUACCCUAUCAUUUCUAUACCCCAAAUAAAUCUUAAAUUUUUCAAUUCCUUUCCACCUGUACUGUCACUACUCCCAUAAAAGAAACCAUCACAUAAAACAAAUUAUUACAAUAGCCUUGCAAAACCCUUAAAUAAAGAAAGAUAAUGAUGAGAGUUUUGGUAAAUCAAAGGAAGUAAAGAACACAGAAGAAGCUUUAAGAGACAGUUACUAUCAUCACAUUGAAAAUCUGUCUUAGAGUAGAUAUUAGAGUUUCAGAUUAUGGUAGAUUAAAAAACCAAAACUACAUAUUUUUGCAACUCUUCUUAUCAGUAUUAGACAGAGGGCUAUCAACAUUAAGCACUAUAAGGCAGAAAAACAGGAAGACAGACAUCAAAGGUAGCACUGAUGAUAAGCAAGUUGAGAAAGAAAGAAAUGCCCACUCUUAGCCAUUUUCUGGUCUCCAUAUUUUAGCUUUAUAACCUGGCAUUUAGCUCUUCUUUCUGGAAAUGGACCUCUUGUGAUUGCAACCAUUAAAAAUAGUGAUGCAUUAAAUACAGACAUUAAGGACAAACUCAUAAUAAGUAAUUAAAACAGAAUAAUAAACUAAACUUACAAAAAGAAACUUAAAUCUUCUAGUGGAUAAUCUUAGAAAUAUUUUUGUUUCUGAAAAAAUUCCUGCUGAAAAAUAAACAAAGGUCCACAUAAGAAAGUAGCAAAAGAGGAUGGAGAUGCAAUAUGUUUCCUUUGUUUCACUUUUCACCAUCUUUCUCAUAGUUUUGGAAUUAACUCCUAUAAUAAAACAUUAUACCUUAAUUUUUUACUCAAUAUGUUUCCCAGAGGAUCAAAGCUAAGAAGGUAAACUUCCUGAAAAUAUAAAGAUAAAACAAGAAAACAAUUAUUCUUGUGUUUUACAAUCCAGGAUUACUUAAUUCAACCUGGAAACUGCUAAGAUCAGAGGAGACCAAUACUAGGAACCAAAAUAAUAUUAAAAGACAAGUUUAGGAAUAAUAAUAAGAUGAUAACAUGAAAGAAAUUUGGGUUUUCCUGGAUUUAUUUAAUAAAACUCCUUUCAUAAACUCUCUGCCUAUACUAUAGAAGAGAUACAGUCUGUGCCCCCAAGUAACUCAUUUGGCCAUUAUUUUGAAUUUCCCAAGUCAGUGGUUAAAAUGGGGGUAGAAGCUAAGAAGGAGCAAUCAGUCCGAGUGGAAACCAGAACAUGAAUCCUAACAGGAUAACCAGAGCAGAAGCCUGUGGACCAGAGAGAAAUUUCUAGGCAGAAAAUUAUAAGUGGGCAAGAUCUCCAACAUUGCUUAAUUAGAAUGGAUUUCAGUCAAAAUAAACUAAGAAGCUAUUUAAAAAAAACGUAAGUUAUAUUUGACAAAAGAUUAGCAAAAUUAUAUUUUUGAAGGCUGGUCUACAAAAUAUCUGCAUUAGCAAAACCCUCAGGCUAUUUUCCACCUGCCCACUCCAACCAUGCUUAGAAGACAUUGACCACUAAGCACUACACUUGGUAGAAUGGAAGUUCAUCUGUAUGUUUAUCUCAGACAUUUUCAAAAUGAAUAAGAAUAAAUAAGGGGUACAGAUAAUUGAAAAACACAAAAUAACAACAGCAACAAACAUAAAAUAGUUCAUUGCCAUUUUGGGGAGUUCCUUCAUUUCUAUAUUUUAGGAUAUAUGUGCUAUGCACACAUACGUCACAGGAAUUACUAAUAAAGUGAUGUGAUGGUUAUUAUCCUCUCUUCUUAAAUUUAAAAAAAAUUAACCCUAUAUUUUUCUCCUUUUAGAUAUUUAUUACAUUUGUGGCUGAAUAAAUAUACAAUUUAACUUUAAGUUAUCAGAUGUUUAUGACUUAUAGCUGAGCUUAACAUCACCUAAAAAUCCCGGAUUUGGAGCUGGAUGUUAUGACUAGAUGAGAUUAUAAUGUCCUUUUGGAUAUGAUAUAUACACAUAUAUACACAAACAGAUAUAUGUGAAUGUAUUUAGGCAGAAAGUAUGAACUCUGAGUAGUUUGUUUUUGUUUUUAUUUAAAGUGUCCUUUGUUUUUACUGGUUGCAUGUGAAUAAAGAUGGAGGCUAUUUUAGAAUGUGAGUACAAAGCUAGCUGAACAGAAAUAUAAAAAGAUCAAGAAGACCUAUAUCAAGUUUAAGCAAAGAACUAAGCUCUAAUUGAAUCAGUAUUACCUAGACUUUUUUUUUUUUUUUGGUCUUUUUAUGGCUACACCUGUGGCAUAUGGAGGUUCCCAGGCUAGGGGUUGAAUCGGAGCUGUAGCCACUGGCCCAUGCCACAGCCAUAGCAACACCAGGUCAGAGCUGCAUCUGCGACCUAUACCACAGCUCAUGCCAACAUGGGAUCCUUAACAUACUAAGCGAGGCCAGGGAUUGAGAACCUGUGUCCUCAUGGAUACUAGUCAGAUUUGUUUUCGCUGAGCCAUGGUGGGACUCCCACCUUUAAAUUUCUUAGGUAAGCAAGUUAAUAAAUUCUGUUAGUGAUCUAGCUGGUGUGAACUAUAUGUUCUGCAACUAGUUACUAGAGAGAUACAAUUAGUAAAAAAUAAAAUAGCAUGAAAAAUGAUUUGAUAUAGACGUUAAUUUUCUUUGUUGGUAACCUUUAAAGUCACUGAGACUUCUAAAGAGGAAUAUAUUACAGCAGUCUAGAAAUACCCUCAUUUAUCUAUGGUCUCACCCAUCACAUCAGCAAUAAACAACAAUAAAUAUAGAUUAUAUACUUUAUAUAUGAUAUAUAAUUAAGAUACUAAUUCUCAAUGGCAUCACAAAUGUCACAAAGGAUGUUUCGCACUUAUUUAUAAAGACUAAAUUUUCUCCAAGGGCAAAUUAUAUUUUUUCUUUAAUUUUCACAGAAGACAUGAUAAUUACAUCUUACUUGAAUAUUCAAAAUAUUCAAAUGAUUAACUUUUACACUAGAACAGAAGGCUCUGUUGAAUAAAUGCUGUUGAAGGCCAAAAAACAAAAGUAUAAAAAUCAAUCAUCUCAGCUAGUCUACUCCAGCCAGCUGAUGGACACAGCUGAAACUGUAAUGUUUACCUUCAACCUCACUGGACUUCAAUUUGUUUUUUAUAGUAUCUGGAAUUUCACUAUCUUCAUGUUUACAAUAAACAACUGGCAAUACAUGGUACAAUUUGGGAAUUACUCUAGGUCCAUGAGUGAGAAAUACUAUACUUUUUGGCAGUCUUCUAGCCUCUGGGACUUUAGCUAAAUAAGAAAAGGUUUGAGAGAAUAUAGAAUUCUAGGAUGAGAAAGCCUAGGAAUUUAAAUGACUUGCUUGUUUCAGAUGCCUUCUCUAGAAAAGCUAGAAGAAUGCAAAUUUGAUUUUUGCUUUUUGUGCACUUCCACUGCUUUUGCUUUCCCACACAUGCACACAGACAAACUGUUUUAUAAGAAUCUAUCACUUUAAUGGCUACCAGUUUCACUAAAACUCAUCUCCUCAUGAUGUAUUAUGAGGACCUCAAUUUUAUGUGAUUAGCCUUAGCACACUGUUUAUAAGCCAAAGGCAAGCUUUCUGUUGUCAAGUGGAAAAGCUGGCAGGGCAGUGAGUGGUAAGUAUGGAGGAAGUAAGGGUCCUACUGUGGCAACUAGUUCAGAAACUCCUCAGGCAAGAGGUCAAGAAUUAUCAAUUACCAUGUCCUAUUUGAGGACAUUUGUUCUGAAGCAUAAGAAAUACACACAGACUUAAUGAGUAGACAAAUAUCUAUAUGUGAUUUGGUUGUAGCUGUCCUUUAACGUUAG